CCAUCUUGGAUUUUGAUGUAAACAAUCUGCAAUAUUUUGCAAUAUUUUUUUUUGCUUUUUGUGUGUGGAAUUGGUUUUGAUGGUAAUGAGAGCAUUGAAAAGUUCAAAGCUCAAGAGAAUAAAUCGACUCUCGGUGUCGGUUGGUGACAGAGAUAUUUUUCCCGCGUUUUGCAGCUAGAGACGUCGGUCAAUCGUUCGAUUUAUUCAUAUAAUCGAAUAUCUGCAUCAGUAAUUUUAUAUCGAAUAAUGAAAAAUCAAGAAAACACAGUGCAAAAUUUGUUUAACCGUCAUGGUGUUUCGUCGAAAUUCAUCGAAUAUGCUAAAUCAUUUACGGUUGAAGCAUGAAAAUGAUUCCUUGGUGGUGAAGGAAACUGGGAAGAAGAAUUCAAGGUCUGCAGGAGUAAAAUGCGGACUUGAAGAAGAUGGUCUAAGCUCCCGUUCUAAAAUAGUAGUAUUCAAAUUCAGAGUGCCAAGGAAGAUAUACCAUACUAGUGGUCAAUGAUUCUAUAAAUAUACUUUAGAACUAGUAGUUAUAGAAACCAAGCAGAAAUAUUCAAACAAAUCAGCUAUUUCAACAUUCGAAGAACAGAUAAUUUUGAACAGCAAAAAUUUGAUGCUGGUGCAAUAAAAAUGUAGGUCGGACUCGGUUAUAUACAGACUCGAUUAUAUGUGAUUCGAUUAUAUAAAAUUUUUGACUCGAUAUUUUUUUUCCAAACUGUAUAUAA